GAGGAGGAGGAGGAGGAGGAGGAGGAGGAGGAAUGGACCGAAGGAGAUGGAGGAGCCGAAGAAGAUUACGACCUCUUGAGAUGAAGAAGAAGAAGAAGACGAAGGAGAAGAAGAAGAAGACAAAGAAGAAAAAGAAGAAGAAGAAGAGGAAGAUGACAAAGAAGAAGAAGACAAAGAAGAAGAAGAAGAAGAAGAAGAAGAAGAAGAUGACAAAGAAGAAGAAGACAAAGAAGAAGAUGACAAAGAAGAGGAAGAUGAAAAAGAAGAAAGAAAAACCACGAUCACUCCCCUUACGAAGCCUUUGAAGAAGGUGUGAGAGACAGAGCGGCCAAGGAAGGAGGAGGGGGGGAGGAGGAGGACGAGGAGGGGAGACCAUGAGAGCCUCCAUCAGCCAGAGCGCCUUGUCCUCGGCCUGUUCUGGGGUCAUGUGUUCCAGCAUCAGGACACAGUUCAUGAGGGCCACCAUGUCCCUCUGCUUGGCCGCCUUCACCCACACGCGGCCGUUCAUGC